rnacentral:rRNA from 1 species
UACGUAGGGGGCGAGCGUUGUCCGGAUUUAUUGGGCGUAAAGAGCGUGUAGGCGGCUUGGUAGGUCUCGCGUCAAAACCUGCGGCUCAACCGCAGUUCGCGUGGGAAACCACCUAGCUAGAGUCCGGAAGAGGAGAACGGAAUUCCCAGUGUAGCGGUGAAAUGCGCAGAUAUUGGGAAGAACACCAGUGGCGAAGGCGGUUCUCUGGGACGGUACUGACACUGAGACGCGAAAGCGUGGGGAGCGAACAGG